GCCUCUUGGCCAAAUAUAAGAGGUCCAGCCUGCCCACUGACAUAGUUUAACGGCCGCGGUACCCUAACCGUGCGAAGGUAGCAUAAUCACUUGUUCUUUAAAUAAGGACUUGUAUCAACGGCAUCACGAGGACUAUACUGUCUCCUUUCUCCAAUCAGUGAAACUGAUCUCCCCGUGAAGAAGCGGGGAUUAACCUAUAAGACGAGAAGACCCCAUGGAGCUUAAAGCUCACAAACACCUCUACGCACUUAAAUCAAUUCAGCCCAAGAGACCUGUAAGCCAGCUUUAGGUUGGGGGGACCGCGGAGAAUAACCUAACCUCCACGACAAACGGGCAAACGCCCUUAUCCAUGAAUUACAAUUCUAAGAAUCAAUAAACUGAUGUUUAAUGACCCGAUUAUUCGAUCAACGAACCAAGUUACCCUGGGGAUAACAGCGCAAUCUACUUUAAGAGCUCAUAUCGACAAGUAGGUUUACGACCUCGAUGUUGGAUCAGGGUAUCCCAGUGGUGCAGCCGCUACUAAAGGUUCGUUUGUUCAACGAUUAAAACCCUACGUGAUCUGAGUUCAGAACCGGA
rnacentral:rRNA from 1 species